rnacentral:lncRNA from 1 species
AUGCAAAAACAUGCCAAAAAGGACAUUUUCAAGGAAGUAAAUGCUUUCAUAUCAUUUUGAUAAAACCUUCACUUCACAAGUAUAAGAGACAUAAUACAAGUCAACAUUAACAUAUAAGACCAUAGCCCACCAUACAUAUAAUCAACAUAUGUCCAUAUACAACCCAUGCUUAACUUUAAAAGAACACAUGUCAUUUCAUUACCACAGGACCUCUACCUAAUAUAACCUUAAGACACACUUGAGUGAGACAAGAAGUGACCGCCCACACAACCUCUUCAAGCACACUUAAGUGUUCCCCAAGAUUACCUUAGAUAAGGACAUUUCCUUUACAACAUAACAUCAAUAGGCCAACAUUCUUUAAGAAACCAUUUUGGAGACAUUCAAGCACAUAAGGGGACUUUCACAUAAUAGUCGUUAGACUUAGGGAACUCACUUUAGUAUCUUCAAAGCCUACUCGUGCCAUGUGUAGAUAGCAUCCCAUACUACUACCUACACGUUGUAGAACCUAUCCAAUAACUAGAGUGCACAUCCCACAUGAUGGGAAUAGGAAUAACCGACAUAGACC